ACUAUACAAAAACAAUAAAAUUCAUGGGAAACAAUAGAAAAUAUUGUUUACGAAUUGUAUGAUUUUUCGAACAAAUAAACUCAUCUAAUGUAUUUACAAUAAAAAUACAAUAAUUUAUAUUUUUUCGAAAAUGUGUAUUGUACAUAUAAUACAUUUACAAUAUUUUUUGUUGUUUGCCACAUUUUUGUUUGUUGUUUUGUUUUCUAAUAUUGACGAAAAUUUGUGCUGUUACUUGAAGAGAAUGCAGAAAUUUACAAGAUUGUGAGAAUCCUGCGUUUGACGAUGCCAAAAAGGUGUAGUUCAUCAUCGGACGGCGGCUGCAAAAUCCGCGAAAUUCAGAACCGCUGCCGGGUGUCGGUGCCGAUAGGCAAGCAGUGCAACGGGAACGGCCAGAACAAUGUGUCGAUGAUGGGGAUCGAACAUUUACCGGGCGAGAGACAUGAUUGACCGGAUCUUCAAUGACGAUCGCGACCGGGAGGAACAUCACCCCGACUAAAGUGGUUGGAGGUGAGCGUGACGUUAUAGUCAUUCGCUCAACCACCGCUCCCCAAUCCUACCCAGAGCGGAAAAUUGUUUCAACGUCCAACGUGUGCGAUUUGUGAUACGUCACCUAAACUUAAAGGCUUAGGUUCAGAAAGAACAGGUUUAAAAUUACAGCAAACGACAAAAUAGGUUCGAUUUAACAAACAACAUACAGCUGAAUAAUAAGGAGGAGCAAGAGGAGGAGUAAAAGAUUUGCAUUUAUAAUUUCCCGCUACUCAGAUAUAAACAUUUAAAACAGACGUAGAAUUCAAACGAUGCAGUACCGUCGCGAAAGCUAGGGACAGCUUACGUUUAAAUUUGAACUAGUUACUAAUCGAAAAGAUUACAAACCGCGAGGCCGAAGUGGAACUUUGACCGCCUGAGCGAGGGUGAAGAAUACUUUCGGAUGAACGAGAAAUUUUCACCGGCGGGCCACGAAAUAGAAUAAUGUUAAUUUUUCUUUAAUCCUGGUGUUAACGUGGUCUUCGGAAGGAAAGUUGACGCAAAUCUCCGAAUGCACGGGAGUUCAAAUCCGUCAAGGCUUCCUAGGUAAAGGUGUCAUCUUUGGGCCGAUGUCCACAUAGCGUUUUUUUCAACGCUGCGUGCACGUGCCGUUGAAGAAACGCAGGUGUGCAUUGGUGCGGGGACUACGUGUGCAUCGAGCUUUUAAUGGUGUCCGAUGCGCUACUGUAAUCGACCAUGAAAAAAUUCUGUAUCGCCUUGCAAAUCACACGCUGUGCUGAGGCAACUAAAUCGCAUGCUGGAAUACAAGGAGCUCCACCUGAUUUUUUUGGAUAAUAAUGCCUCAUGAAGGAGAUACGGAACUGGACAUAUUUAUGUAGGCAACAAAAUUGUUUGCUCAGCGCCAAGUUGGUACACACGUCGUCGAGGAUGACUACGAAGGAAAACAGGAAGGUAAACCGGAAUUGAGCUACUCAGACCAAGAGGACAAUCUAGAUUUCAAGGCCACUCGCAAUGAAAGCAGAAAAGGGUCGGUGUGUGUAUCCGGGAAUCGGCCAUAAAAAGGAAGAUGGGACGAAAACACCUGAAACUACAGUACUUCAAGCGAAUAUUUCUUCCGCUUUCAGUUAGUUUCCGCUUUACAUAGAGUGUUCAAUCGAAGUGCUCGACCAAACGGUGUAGCUGCAAGAAGUUGAAUGAAAUUAGAUAAUGCAUUGCUAAAGAAUAUCGAAUAGCAAAUAGAGAAGAGAUUUGUUGAAACUACGGUAGGAAAAGAAAAAUUAGUUGAUAUAUAUAUGAUAUAUAUCUAUAGAAUAGCGUCCGUUAACGCUCGCUGAUUAACCGUAAAUUGCAAUGUUCAUUACGUAGAUAAUAUAUUGCAUUGAUGGUAGGGCGAUUUGAUUUUUACGCGGAUUAUUGUUUAUGUAACAAAAGAAUAUUUGUAUUUAUGCUUGUCCAAACAUCAGCGCCCUUAAACUUUUUGAACCAUACAUAGGUGCAUGUUUGUUUAUGCAGCAAUCACUCAACGAUUGGAAAUCAUAUAACAGUUACGAGAAUAUACAUAACAGAAAAAGAAACAAAAGAAAAAUUUGCUGGAUUCGGCAUCAAUUGUUUUUAUCAACUACUAUCAUUAUAUAUAUACUAUUACUUGUAUCAUUAUAUAUAUAAAAACUUCUAGUUAUUAGUGUUAUAUGCUGAGUUGAGGAAAUAAAAUUGACAUUACAGUAUACAUCAUGCCGUAGUAUAAUCUCAUUGACAAUAUAUUCUAUUUACAUUUAUUAAGCAAUAAUUCCACGAAAAAAACUACGUUUUACUGUUUUACAAUUAAUUAACAAUAAGCCUUUUUUAUUAGAAAAACAAUUGAUUAACAAUAAAUGUAAUAGUUUUGGUCAAAGAACUAUAACAAUAUCGAAACAAUAGAAAUAAUUGUUUUGUGUUCUAAAAUGUAUGAGAAAAAAGGGAUUUUUUUAUUGUUACGGUAACUAACAACCCACCUUUUUUAUUGUAAAAGUCUCAAUAACAAUAAAUUGUA